rnacentral:rRNA from 1 species
AGUGAACGCUGGCGGUAGGCCUAACACAUGCAAGUCGAACGGCAGCACAGUAAGAGCUUGCUCUUACGGGUGGCGAGUGGCGGACGGGUGAGGAAUACAUCGGAAUCUACUUUUUCGUGGGGGAUAACGUAGGGAAACUUACGCUAAUACCGCAUCCGACCUACGGUUGAAAGCAGGGGAUCUUCGGACCUUGCGCGAUUGAAUGAGCCGAUGUCGGAUUAGCUAGUUGGCGGGGUAAAGGCCCACCAAGGCGACGAUCCGUAGCUGGUCUGAGAGGAUGAUCAGCCACACUGGAACGGAGACACGGACAAGACUCCUAAGGGAGGCAGCAGUGGGGAAUAUUGGACAAUGGGCGCAAGCCUGAUCCAGCCAUACCGCGUGGGUGAAGAAGGCCUUCGGGUUGUAAAGCCCUUUUGUUGGGAAAGAAAAGCAGCAGGUUAAUACCCCGCUGUUCUGACGGUACCCAAAGAAUAAGCACCGGCUAACUUCGUG